CAGAGAUGUGUCUUUCAGUUCGGCUGGACCGGAUACAGGUGCUGCAUGGCUGUCGUCAGCUCGUGUCGUGAGAUGUUGGGUUAAGUCCCGCAACGAGCGCAACCCUCGCCUUUAGUUGCCAUCAUUUAGUUGGGCACUCUAAAGGGACUGCCAGUGAUAAGCUGGAGGAAGGUGGGGAUGACGUCAAGUCCUCAUGGCCCUUACGGGCUGGGCUACACACGUGCUACAAUGGUGGUGACAGUGGGCAGCAAGCACGCGAGUGUGAGCUAAUCUCCAAAAGCCAUCUCAGUUCGGAUUGCACUCUGCAACUCGAGUGCAUGAAGUUGGAAUCGCUAGUAAUCGCGG
rnacentral:rRNA from 1 species